AACGAACGCUGGCUGUAUGCCUAACACAUGCAAGUCGAACGUGACCUUCGGGUCUAGUGGUGCACGGGUGCGUAGAGGGUGGGAACCUGCGCUUAGGUUCGGAAUAACUCCUCGACAGGGGUGCUAAUAAUGGACAUUCUCUUCGGACCAAAGAUUUAUCGCCUUUGGCUGGUCCGGCGUUCGAUUAACUAGUUGGUACGGUAAAAGCCUACCACGGCGACGAUCCAUAGAUGGUGUGAGAGGAUGAUCCUCCACACUGGUACUAAGACACGGCCCAGACUCCUACGGGAAGCAGCAGUGGGGAAUAGAGAACGAUGUGCGAAAGCCUCAUGCAGCAAUGCCGCGUGAAAGAUGAAGACCUUAGGGUUGUAAAGCUCUGUUACCCGGGACGAUAAUGACAGUACCGGAAGAAGAAGCCCCGGCUAACUCCGUG
rnacentral:rRNA from 1 species